GUGAACAGGAAGGCCGUGGCGUCCCUGACCAUGCUUGUCUGUUCUACUGUCUGGAACAAAAGAAAUGCACGGGUCUUCUGCAACAAGAGCACUCCGCCAACCAUCCUUCUUAACUUCAUCAAGAAAGAGGCUAGCCUUUGGGUUUCCGCGUGUGCAAAAAAAUUGGGUCACAUAUUGCUGGGAGAUCCUUCUUUUGUGUGUGGGUGCUAUAACAAACUCUAUAUUCCUCUAUUAACUAAUAUAUGA
rnacentral:rRNA from 1 species